AUACAAUAACCUGGUGACGCAAGGUGUAUCACAUUUGUGCAAAUUUCUAGAUGCUGGAUCACUCUCAACAUCCAAUCUGUCGAAAGAAUCAUGAUCGAAAACUUUGACAAAACGACUUAUGUCAAUAGAGUCGGGUCAAUUGCUUCUUUUUCCAUACAAUAAUGGUGCUCAAGAUCGACGGUAUGUGGGUAUUAUGUGAUGCGAUUCAUGUGGGUCAUAGUCAACCAGAAGAGCACUUCAAUCCCGGAUGUAAUGAAACUUGAACUGCGUGAAUAUACGAAAGACGACAUCAAUAUGUUAAGAAUGGAGUGGGCCGAGUUUGCAGGGUCCUACUUAGAUUUUGCAUAAAAUAUGAGGAAUUAUCUUUUUUGGGUUGUCCAUGAACUCAUUUUGCAUAUAAUAUAUUUUUUGCUUGCACAACGUUCGAGCUCAAUGUUCAUGUAUUGGUAGUCGUACUUUUGUUAGGCAUUUUUUUGGGACUUCUGGCUACCUUAUACUAUCAUGCUUAUUUAAACUCA